UGCUGCACCCGGCAAAAUGAUGAAACAGCUGUAGCCAGAGGUAACUGUAAGGAUUUAGUUCAGCUGUGAGAAGGAUGCAGAAUUGCCCUUCUGGAGAUGUGUAAGCUGCAAGCUGGCUGAAUUGUGUUGCUCUGGAAACCGUCCUUUUAGUCUCUUUUCUCUAGAUUGAAAACAAAAUAUGUGUCCUCUCUCUCUUCCCAAUGACUGAAGAACCCCAAGGCGGAUUUCUGAAAUAAGGCAUGAUGAAGCUCAUUUAUACUGGCCUUGUGAUGAAUUUGGACUCUCAGCCUUUAAAGACAUAACCUACAGCCCUUCUCCCCGGUGGCUUCAAAUAAGUACAGUGAUAAACCAUAGUGUUACAGCUUACAGGAGCACGAUCUAAGAGACACUCCUCUCAUUUUAUUUCAACCUUUUAAAGACUUCAUGGCUUUGUUCCUCCUCUGGAUAACUGGCUGUCCUUGAAAAUGCCUUGUUUUCCAUUCCAUGCAGAUCAACCUUUUAAGCUGUUCUGUUGUUCAAAAGGCUCAAAGAGGAAGCCAGCUAUUGUGGGUGAAAAGCACAUCAUGCAUCCAAUGGAAAAAGAUGAGUAGGACAUUAUACAAACCCAACAGCAGAAGAGAUGCAUUUCAUGAUGUGGAGAGUUUUUGUAGAGACAUGGCUUGAGGAGAAGGGACGUGAGAAAAUACAGCUGGUGAAAUAAUAACAGCCUCGUACAAGGCCACAGUCUCCCUGAGCAAGAAGUUAGGCGAUAACAGGAGAUAAAAACAGGACCUAGAAAAACCACAAACAUCCUAGGAAUGUAGCAAUAGAGGCAGGGCUGACACUCUGUAUCGGACCAAUGAUGAGCCUUACUUUUGUAAUAUGUAUGAGCCUUAUUACUGCUAUUAUAAAAGCAUGUCUAUCGUAUCAAUAAAUCGAGACU